UACGGGGGGUGCGAGCGUUGUCCGGAAUCACUGGGCGUAAAGGGCGCGUAGGUGGCGUCGUAAGUCUGUGGUGAAAGCCCGGAGCUCAACUCCGGGUCUGCCGCGGAUACUGCGAGGCUUGAGUGCUGUAGAGGGGGGUAGAAUGCCGGGUGUAGCGGUGGAAUGCGUAGAUAUCGGGAGGAACACCUGUGGCGAAAGCGGCUCACUGGACCAUAACUGACGCUGAGGCACGAAAGCUAGGGGAGCAAACAGG
rnacentral:rRNA from 1 species